UGGAUCAAUGAUGAUACCUGCCGGCGUUAUGAGUCACCAUGACAAAUAAUGCAUGUCUGAGACGCUGAGGUCCAC
rfam:Myotis brandtii contig274943, whole genome shotgun sequence.